UUAAGCGACUAAGCGUACACGGUGGAUGCCCUGGCAGUCAGAGGCGAUGAAGGACGUGCUAAUCUGCGAUAAGCGUCGGUAAGGUGAUAUGAACCGUUAUAACCGGCGAUUUCCGAAUGGGGAAACCCAGUGUGAUUCGUCACACUAUCAUUAACUGAAUCCAUAGGUUAAUGAGGCGAACCGGGGGAACUGAAACAUCUAAGUACCCCGAGGAAAAGAAAUCAACCGAGAUUCCCCCAGUAGCGGCGAGCGAACGGGGAGCAGCCCAGAGCCUGAAUCAGUGUGUGUGUUAGUGGAAGCGUCUGGAAAGGCGCGCGAUACAGGGUGACAGCCCCGUACACAAAAAUGCACAUACUGUGAGCUCGAUGAGUAGGGCGGGACACGUGGUAUCCUGUCUGAAUAUGGGGGGACCAUCCUCCAAGGCUAAAUACUCCUGACUGACCGAUAGUGAACCAGUACCGUGAGGGAAAGGCGAAAAGAACCCCGGCGAGGGGAGUGAAAAAGAACCUGAAACCGUGUACGUACAAGCAGUGGGAGCACGCUUCGGCGUGUGACUGCGUACCUUUUGUAUAAUGGGUCAGCGACUUAUAUUCUGUAGCAAGGUUAACCGAAUAGGGGAGCCGAAGGGAAACCGAGUCUUAACUGGGCGUUAAGUUGCAGGGUAUAGACCCGAAACCCGGUGAUCUAGCCAUGGGCAGGUUGAAGGUUGGGUAACACUAACUGGAGGACCGAACCGACUAAUGUUGAAAAAUUAGCGGAUGACUUGUGGCUGGGGGUGAAAGGCCAAUCAAACCGGGAGAUAGCUGGUUCUCCCCGAAAGCUAUUUAGGUAGCGCCUCGUGAAUUCAUCUCCGGGGGUAGAGCACUGUUUCGGCAAGGGGGUCAUCCCGACUUACCAACCCGAUGCAAACUGCGAAUACCGGAGAAUGUUAUCACGGGAGACACACGGCGGGUGCUAACGUCCGUCGUGAAGAGGGAAACAACCCAGACCGCCAGCUAAGGUCCCAAAGUCAUGGUUAAGUGGGAAACGAUGUGGGAAGGCCCAGACAGCCAGGAUGUUGGCUUAGAAGCAGCCAUCAUUUAAAGAAAGCGUAAUAGCUCACUGGUCGAGUCGGCCUGCGCGGAAGAUGUAACGGGGCUAAACCAUGCACCGAAGCUGCGGCAGCGACACUAUGUGUUGUUGGGUAGGGGAGCGUUCUGUAAGCCUGUGAAGGUGUACUGUGAGGUAUGCUGGAGGUAUCAGAAGUGCGAAUGCUGACAUAAGUAACGAUAAAGCGGGUGAAAAGCCCGCUCGCCGGAAGACCAAGGGUUCCUGUCCAACGUUAAUCGGGGCAGGGUGAGUCGACCCCUAAGGCGAGGCCGAAAGGCGUAGUCGAUGGGAAACAGGUUAAUAUUCCUGUACUUGGUGUUACUGCGAAGGGGGGACGGAGAAGGCUAUGUUGGCCGGGCGACGGUUGUCCCGGUUUAAGCGUGUAGGCUGGUUUUCCAGGCAAAUCCGGAAAAUCAAGGCUGAGGCGUGAUGACGAGGCACUACGGUGCUGAAGCAACAAAUGCCCUGCUUCCAGGAAAAGCCUCUAAGCAUCAGGUAACAUCAAAUCGUACCCCAAACCGACACAGGUGGUCAGGUAGAGAAUACCAAGGCGCUUGAGAGAACUCGGGUGAAGGAACUAGGCAAAAUGGUGCCGUAACUUCGGGAGAAGGCACGCUGAUAUGUAGGUGAAGUCCCUCGCGGAUGGAGCUGAAAUCAGUCGAAGAUACCAGCUGGCUGCAACUGUUUAUUAAAAACACAGCACUGUGCAAACACGAAAGUGGACGUAUACGGUGUGACGCCUGCCCGGUGCCGGAAGGUUAAUUGAUGGGGUUAGCGCAAGCGAAGCUCUUGAUCGAAGCCCCGGUAAACGGCGGCCGUAACUAUAACGGUCCUAAGGUAGCGAAAUUCCUUGUC
rnacentral:rRNA from 1 species